CCCACCCCUGUGGUGGGUGGUGCAUUCGCCUAUAUUCUGCGGAAUUUCGCCUGGCGUAUGGAUGAAGAGGAUUUUAUCCGAAUCCUUACGCGCCAGGUUGUCUGCGGAAAUCUGCCAGAGUAAUCUUAGAUAUGGACGAGUUGGUAGGACUCGGCGGGUGGUGUUCACACACUUUCUCGUCUGAGAAACCGCCUACACAGAAUGGGGCUUACAUUGGGAAACUCGGACGGAA
rnacentral:misc_RNA from 1 species